GGAUAAAAGGUACUCCGGGGAUAACAGGCUGAUACCGCCCAAGAGUUCAUAUCGACGGCGGUGUUUGGCACCUCGAUGUCGGCUCAUCACAUCCUGGGGCUGAAGUCGGUCCCAAGGGUAUGGCUGUUCGCCAUUUAAAGUGGUACGCGAGCUGGGUUUAGAACGUCGUGAGACAGUUCGGUCCCUAUCUGCCGUGGGCGUUGGAAGAUUGAAGGGGGCUGCUCCUAGUACGAGAGGACCGGAGUGGACGAACCUCUGGUGUUCGGGUUGUGUCGCCAGACGCAUUGCCCGGUAGCUAAGUUCGGAAUUGAUAAGCGCUGAAAGCAUCUAAGCGCGAAGCGAGCCCUGAGAUGAGUCUUCCCUGAUACUUUAAGUAUCCUAAAGGGUUGUUCGAGACUAGAACGUUGAUAGGCAGGGUGUGUAAGCGUUGUGAGGCGUUGAGCUAACCUGUACUAAUUGCCCGUGAGGCUUAACCAUACAACACCCA
rnacentral:rRNA from 1 species